GCGUUGAAAAGCUCGGGGAUGACUUGUGGGUAGCGGUGAAAUUCCAAUCGAGCCCGGAGAUAGCUGGUUCUCCCCGAAAUAGCUUUAGGGCUAGCCUCAAGGUGAGAGAUACGGAGGUAGAGCACUGAAUGUCCUAGGGGGUAUUGCACCUACCGAAGACUAUCAAACUCCGAAUGCCGUCAUCUUAUACUUGGGAGUCAGACUGUGGGUGAUAAGAUUCAUAGUCGAAAGGGCAACAGCCCAGAUCGUCAGCUAAGGUCCCUAAAUGUAAGUUAAGUGGUAAAGGAUGUGGGAUUGCACAGACAACCAGGAUGUUGGCUUAGAAGCAGCCACUCAUUCAAAGAGUGCGUAAUAGCUCACUGGUCGAGUGAUCCUGCGCCGAAGAUUUCCGGGGCUAAAACUUACUACCGAAGCUACGGCAUCAGUAAUGAUGGGUAGGGGAGCUUCCCAUACGGGUUGAAGCAUGACCGUAAGGACAUGUGGACAGUAUGGGAGUGAGAAUGUUGGCAUGAGUAGCGAGAUGUGGGUGAGAAUCCCACAGGCCGUAAACCCAAGGUUUCCAGGGGAAGGUUCGUCCGCCCUGGGUUAGUCGGGACCUAAGCUGAGGCCGAAAGGCGUAGGUGAUGGACAACAGGUUGAUAUUCCUGUACUACCGAUAACCGUUUGAGAGAUGGGAUGACACAGUAGGAUAAGCUAAGCACACUGUUGGUUAUGUGUGCCCAAGCAUUGAGGCAGUCAGAGUAGGUAAAUCCGCUUUGACAAUGCUGGGAUGUGAUGGGGAGCGAAAUUUAGUAGCGAAGUAGCUGAUUUCACACUGUCAAGAAAAGUCUCUAUCGAGGUUAAAGGUACCCGUACCGCAAACCGACACAGGUGGGUGAGGAGAGUAUCCUAAGGCCCGCGAGAGAACUGUUGUUAAGGAACUCGGCAAAAUGACCCCGUAACUUAGGGAUAAGGGGUGCCACCAUACGGUGGCCGCAGAGAAUAGGCCCAAGCGACUGUUUACCAAAAACAUAGGUUUCUGCUAAGUCGCAAGACGAUGUAUAGGAGCUGACGCCUGCCCGGUGCUGGAAGGUUAAGGGGAUCUGUUAGAGCAA
rnacentral:rRNA from 1 species